AGUCAGGUAACACAUUGUCUCAUUUAGAUGUGAUGUCUACACAGAGUCAGGUAACACAUUGUCUCAUUUAGAUGUGAUGUCUACACAGAGUCAGGUAACACAUUGUCUCAUUUAGAUGUGAUGUCUACACAGAGUCAGGUAACACAUUGUCUCAUUUAGAUGUGAUGUCUACACAGAGUCAGGUAACACAUUGUCUCAUUUAGAUGUGAUGUCUACACAGAGUCAGGUAACACAUUGUCUCAUUUAGAUGUGAUGUCUACACAGAGUCAGGUAACACAUUGUCUCAUUUAGAUGUGAUGUCUACACAGAGUCAGGUAACACAUUGUCUCAUUUAGAUGUGAUGUCUACACAGAGUCAGGUAACACAUUGUCUCAUUUAGAUGUGAUGUCUACACAGAGUCAGGUAACACAUUGUCUCAUUUAGAUGUGAUGUCUACACAGAGUCAGGUAACACAUUGUCUCAUUUAGAUGUGAUGUCUACACAGAGUCAGGUAACACAUUGUCUCAUUUAGAUGUGAUGUCUACACAGAGUCAGGUAACACAUUGUCUCAUUUAGAUGUGAUGUCUACACAGAGUCAGGUAACACAUUGUCUCAUUUAGAUGUGAUGUCUACACAGAGUCAGGUAACACAUUGUCUCAUUUAGAUGUGAUGUCUACACAGAGUCAGGUAACACAUUGUCUCAUUUAGAUGUGAUGUCUACACAGAGUCAGGUAACACAUUGUCUCAUUUAGAUGUGAUGUCUACACAGAGUCAGGUAACACAUUGUCUCAUUUAGAUGUGAUGUCUACACAGAGUCAGGUAACACAUUGUCUCAUUUAGAUGUGAUGUCUACACAGAGUCAGGUAACACAUUGUCUCAUUUAGAUGUGAUGUCUACACAGAGUCAGGUAACACAUUGUCUCAUUUAGAUGUGAUGUCUACACAGAGUCAGGUAACACAUUGUCUCAUUUAGAUGUGAUGUCUACACAGAGUCAGGUAACACAUUGUCUCAUUUAGAUGUGAUGUCUACACAGAGUCAGGUAACACAUUGUCUCAUUUAGAUGUGAUGUCUACACAGAGUCAGGUAACACAUUGUCUCAUUUAGAUGUGAUGUCUACACAGAGUCAGGUAACACAUUGUCUCAUUUAGAUGUGAUGUCUACACAGAGUCAGGUAACACAUUGUCUCAUUUAGAUGUGAUGUCUACACAGAGUCAGGUAACACAUUGUCUCAUUUAGAUGUGAUGUCUACACAGAGUCAGGUAACACAUUGUCUCAUUUAGAUGUGAUGUCUACACAGAGUCAGGUAACACAUUGUCUCAUUUAGAUGUGAUGUCUACACAGAGUCAGGUAACACAUUGUCUCAUUUAGAUGUGAUGUCUACACAGAGUCAGGUAACACAUUGUCUCAUUUAGAUGUGAUGUCUACACAGAGUCAGGUAACACAUUGUCUCAUUUAGAUGUGAUGUCUACACAGAGUCAGGUAACACAUUGUCUCAUUUAGAUGUGAUGUCUACACAGAGUCAGGUAACACAUUGUCUCAUUUAGAUGUGAUGUCUACACAGAGUCAGGUAACACAUUGUCUCAUUUAGAUGUGAUGUCUACACAGA